GUUCAGAGUUUUUGUAAUGCCAUAAAAGCCUGCUUAUUCUCCAGUACAAGAUACAAGGACUAGCAGAUCCUCUCCAGUUCAAUUUCUGUCUUUUAAAACUUGUAGUACUUUCUGCAUGUUGAUAAUCACUAUGAGCUUUUGGCACUUCAGGACACCAGUACCUCUAGCUUUGAAGUACAAGCUUCCCUGUGUUUUGGUUAUAACCAAACACCAGGACCAUCUAGUCUUCAAGUCCUCCUCACCAAAUUAGACAGGAAUGAAGUUUUAAUGUAAUUCAUAUAAUACUAGCUUGGCCAGAUUCUUCUUAAAGAGGUGGCUCAUGGAGGACACUUACCUCAGUAUCAAACAUUGGUCAUGCCAAACCUGAACAGAAGGCCAUAUAGCAGACAAAUUUUUUUUUUUUUUUUAAACCCCUUUUAAUCAGCUGCACUUCUAGAUCUCUCUACACUGUUGUAAUAUUCCAAAGAGAUGGACAGAAAGUAAUCAGAAGAGUCUGAAAAACUUAUCCUUCAACGAAAGACAAAAGCUGACCUAAAAGAAUUACCUGUUACUGAAAAGACUUGUGGGAGCAAAGAACACUUUAUUAUGAAGGGGAAAGAAGAGUACAAGAAAAUACAGAAGCUACCGAGUGUGUUUAGUCUGCUCCUUUUGUGUGCUGUGUUUGAGAGCAUGAACAAGGACAGCAUGCAUAGCAAGGACUUAGCAGUGACAACUGUCAAUAUAGAAGAGAUGGAAUGUCUCCAGACUGCCGCAGCUUGUUUGAAAAUACAACAGAACAUUGGUUUGCUUGCUAUUAGAAAGGUAAGUGCCCCUGCUAUUACAUAUGACAGUCCCUACUGGGUUACAUAGAUUAAUGCAAAGGCUGUCAUAGUCUUUCCUCAACAGAUGGUGAACCCAAGACAGUGAGAGGAUAUUAGUUCAGUGUAUAAUAGGUAUUGAUGUUUAAGAUGUUGAGACAUGGAUUUGAGGAGGGGAAAAAAUAUUUAGAAUUGCCGUUCAUACAAAAUUCAUUCUGAACAUCAGUUCUGA
rnacentral:lncRNA from 1 species